rnacentral:rRNA from 1 species
GGGGGGGGGGGGGGGGGGGGGGGGGGGGGGGGGGUGGGGGGAGCGGACGAGCGGCUGGCUUUUCUGAUGUUCGCGGCGGCCGGGUGAGUAACACGUGGCUAGCCUACCUAUAAGACUGGGAUAACUUCUGGAAACAUGAGCUCCUACCGGCUACUAUUUUUCACCGCAUGUUUCAAACGUUCACUACUGUCUUGCUGUCACUUAUAUAUGUAUCCGCGCUGCAUUAGCUAGUUGGUAAGGUAACGGCUUACCAAGGCAACGAUGCAUAGCCGACCUGAGAGGGUGAUCGGCCACACUGGAACUGAGACACGGUCCAGACGCCUACGGGAGGCAGCAGUAGGGAAUCUUACGCAAUGGGCGAAAGCCUGACGGAGCAACGCCGCGUGAGUGAUGAAGGUCUUCGGAUCGUAAAACUCUGGUAUUAGGGAAGAACAUAUGUGUAAGUAACUGUGCACAUCUUGACGGUACCUAAUCAGAAAGCAACGGCUAACUACGU